UGGACAGAUUAUUAUAUCGACUGUAUUCAACUGUAUUCACAGCGUGAAACAGGGGAUUACACUGUUUUUAAACUGAAAGUGAAUCAAUUAACAUAAUAGACUCCU
rnacentral:pre_miRNA from 1 species